rnacentral:rRNA from 1 species
AUGAACGCUGGCGGCGUGCCUAAUACAUGCAAGUCGAGCGAACAGAUGAGGAGCUUGCUCCUCUGACGUUAGCGGCGGACGGGUGAGUAACACGUGGAUAACCUACCUAUAACACUGGGAUAACUUCGGGAAACCGGAGCUAAUACCGGAUAAUAUAUUGAACCGCAUGGUUCAAUAGUGAAAGACGGUUUUGCUGUCACUUAUAGAUGGAUCCGCGCCGCAUUACCUAGUUGGUAAGGUAACGGCUUACCAAGGCAACGAUGCGUAGCCGACCUGAGAGGGUGAUCGGCCACACUGGAACUGAGACACGGUCCAGACUCCUACGGGAGGCAGCAGUAGGGAAUCUUCCGCAAUGGGCGAAAGCUUGACGGAGCAACGCCGCGUGAGUGAUGAAGGUCUUCGGAUCGUAAAACCCUGUUAUUAGGGAAGAACAAAUGUGUAAGUAACUAUGCACGUCUUGACGGUACCUAGUCAGAAAGCCACGGCUAACUACGUG